rfam:Monodelphis domestica cont3.071969, whole genome shotgun sequence.
AGUGUCUCUCUAAUCCGUUUGACUUCCUGCUCCAGGAAUUGGGCUGAGGGCAACAGGAUCUCGCUAAGCCAGAGUGGCAUGUGCCUAGCAGAAUUGUCAGGCUAUAUGGA